GCUUCUGCCAGACAUUUGGGGUCAGAAGCCAGCCUCUGCUUGUCAGACUCACACUUUUCUAACUACAACUGAUUGCCUAUUUCAGUGGUUCUGUAUUUUCAGUGGUCCACCACGUGCUCCGCUGUGGCAGGGCCGCAGUGCUGAUUUGGCACAUUCCCUGCACUCACAAGUGGUACAGCUGAGUUGUGAACUCAGAGCUGCAGCUGAGGAUUUCUUCCAGCAUAGACAGCUGGAAAAGUUUUGGUAAGUAGUCACUGGUUUUGGCCUUGAAGACCGGAAGCAGAGAGGUAAAAUUAAAACCCAGCUUCUCUUUAGUGGCAAAGUGUCUAAUCUGGGGCAAGGGAUGAGACAGUAGGGGGGAGUAUAAAGCUGGUAACAUAUUGGGUCCCAAAGGUAGAGGACCUUGUUGCCCGGCCAAGGAUUUGGGAGAGAUGAAGAAUCAGCAUGGGACAGACUUUGAUGUCAGAGACCCAGGUUCAAAUUCCAGCUUCCAAGUUAAUAACUACCUCACUUUAAGCAAGUUAUUUAACUUAGUGCUUUUCUUCCUCAAAAGGGGCUUGAGAUAUCCAGUUCAUAAGACUGCUAAUGAGGUAGGAGAGCAGAGUGGUUGAGUGGGCUUUGGAGUAAGACUGCUUUUGAACUGGUUUGAAUUCUAGUUUACCACUUACUAGCUGCAUGACCUUAAAUUACGUAACUUCUCUGUGCCUGCUACCUCCUUGUGAAAUGAGACUCAGAUGUAGAGCAUUUAGUACAUUUGGUACAUUUAGCAUUGAGUGCCUGGCACAUAAAAGGCGCUCACUAAAUGAUAACAUUUUUUUCCUCUCUUUUCCUGGUGGGCAAUGGAAAGCUGACAUAGGAUGUGGAAUGGGGGCCCAGAGGGCACAGUUCAGUUUUUUGUUUUUUUUUAAGUAGGCUCCAUGCCCAACAUGGGGCUUGAACUCAUGACCCUGAGAUCAAGAGUCACAUGCUCUACUGACUGAGCCAGCCAGGUGCCCCCCCACUCCCUUUUUUUUUUUUUUUUUUGUCAGAGGUCAGGUUUAUGGCAGUGCCAAGUGGUCUGGACAGGCCAGGAGAUUACAAUAAUCCAGGUGAGAAAUAAAAUCAGAACCUGCAUGCAGGAGGAAAGAGAUGUGACUGAUUUCUGUGAAGAAUCAAUAGGGCUUGGCAGCUGAUUAAACAUGCCAGGGACAAAUAUCAGGUUUGACACAUGGAUCAGCAGGAAAAGAUAUAUCAUCACCCCAACUAGUAGCAUCAGAAGGGGUGGGUAGGUAAGGAGAGUGGGGAGGGAAGAAAAGUUUGGAUGGCUAUUGAGUUUAAAGUGGCAGCCACAAAACAGGGGAUGGCAGUGUGCACUAGAAAGAGUGGUACCACACCUGCUAGGGUGCGAUUAUCAAACAAACAGAAAACUACACAUGUGGGCAAGGAUGUGGGGAAAUUGGAACUCUUGUGUGUUGCUGAUGGGAAUGUAAAAUGAUGCAGUGGCUGUGGAAAUCGGUAUGGCAGGUUCUCAAAGAGUUAAAAAUACAAUUACCACAUGACCCAGCAGUUCCACUUCUGGGUAUACAUCCAGAAUUGAAAGCAGUGCCUUAAACACUAUCUGUACACUCAUGUUCAUUGCAACAUUAUUCACAAUAGCCAAAAGGGGAAACAUCUCAAACGUCCUUUGGUGGAUAAAUGGAUACACAAAAUGCAGUAUAUACACACAAUGGGAUAUUCUUUAGCCUCAAAAAGGAAUAAAAUUCUGUUACAUGCUACAACAUGGAUGCACCUUGAAAAUAUGCUAAGCCAGAAGGAAAAAUACUGUAUGAUUCCACUUAUCUGGGGUACCUAGAAUAGCCAAAUUCAUACACACAGAAAGAAAAGUGGUUACCAGGGGUUGGGGGAGAAGGGAGGUGGGGUAUUAGUUUAAUGGGUAUAGAGUUUCACUAUGGGAUAAAGAAGUUCUGGAGAUGGAUAGUAGUCAUGGUUGUAUAAUGAGGUGAUUGUACUCAAUGCAACUGAACUAUACACUUAAAAAUGGUCAAGAGCGCCUUGGUGGCUCAGUUGCCUAAGCAUCUGACUUCGGCUCAGGUCAUGAUCUCACAGCUUGUGGGUUCGAGCUGCACAUUGGGCUCUGUGCUGACAGCUUGGAGCCUGGAGCCUGCUUUAGAUUCUGUGUCUCCCUCUCUCUCUGUCCUUCCCCUGCUUGUGCAUACUCUCUCUCAAAAAUAAACAUUUAAAAUUUCAAAAAAGCAAAAGCAUUUGGGGCACCUGGGUGGCUCAGUCGGUUAAGUAUCUCACUUGGGCUCAGGUUGUGAUCUCAGUUUGUGAGCUCAAGCCCCGCAUUGGGCUCUGGGCUGUCAGCUAGAAGCCUGGAGUCUGCUUCAGAUUCUGUGUCUCCCUCUCUCUCUGCCCUUCUCCCACUUGUGCUGUCUCUCAAAAAUAAAUAAACAUUAAAAAAAAAAAAAAGCAAAUGCAUUUUAAAAAAUGGUUAAAAUGGUAUAUUUUAUGUGUAUUUUACCAGGGUAGAAAGGAAAAGAGAUAAGCAAUGAAGGCAGUAUGUUACAUUUAAACAUAAAUGGAUGGCAUUGGAGGAAGAAGUGAAGAUGUCAGCUUUUUUUUUUAAUUUUCAAAAAAUGUUUACUUAUUUUCAAGAGAGAGAGAAAGAGAGAGGCAGAGAGAGACAUACAGAAUCCAAAGCAGGCUUCAGGCUCUGAGCUGUCAGCACAAAGCCUGAUGUGGGGCCUGAACUCAUGGACCACAACAUCAUGACUUGAGCAAAGUUGGACGCUUAACUGACUUGAGCCACCCAGGUGCCCCAAUCAGUUUUAAUGUGGAGUUAUAAUAAAAUGGUUAAGGAAGAAUGUUACAAACUAACAAGAUGUAGGAAAUAAAAUUGUAAACCAUUUCGGUAAAAAAUUUAAAACAGUGGCAAAUAAAAAUCCCGGAACAAUGGCAGUAGGGACAUUUGGUGUCAAUGUCCAACAGGAACUUCGAAAGGGUGACCAGAACAUGGCAAAAAAGUCUGAAUUGAAGAUAGAAGUUGAUUGCACAGAGGGACAUCUUAAGUUGUAGGUAAAAGUGAAAGUCAUUUAGAGGAAGGUGCACUGACUGCGUGAUGAAGAGAAGAAAGAGGGGUGCUUGGCUGGGCUUGGUCAGUACAGCGUGUGACUCUUGAUCUUGGGGUUGUGAAUUUGGGCCCAUGUUGGGUGUAGAGAUCAUUUUUUAAAAAGUCUCAAAAAAAAAAAAAAGGAGAAGAAAGCAAGUCUUAGGAAGAGCACACCUUUGGGAAGUGGAAGAAGGUCACUGGAAGGGCAGGCUGUGUCACAGCUGGGUGAGUGUGGGUCAUGGCACCAGUGAGAACCAGGUCAAGAGGGGGUUGAUCAAGCUGUCAGAGGCCACACAGGAUGUUAAGUGCUGCGAAAGGGCUAAGGCUCUAUGUAAGUCAGUAGUUGUAGAAAGGUAGGGAGGAAGCCAAAUGUCAGGAAAAAAAGCCAGGUUCUAUUAGUGAAGAGUUUGGAUGAAGGUAUGGGUCACUUGGCUGGCUCAGUCAGAAGAGCAUGUGACUCUUGAUCUUGGGGUUGUGAGUUCCAGCCCCACGUUGGGUGUAGAAAUUACUAAAAAAAAAAAAAAAAAAACCCAACAAAGAAAACUUUAAAAAAGCUUGCAUGAAGAUAAAGAGAGGUAAAUAUGUGAUAUUCAAAUAGAGGGAACUGGAACAACCUUCAUAGGGAGGGAAGAAAGGAGGAGAGGCUAACUGAUGGCAUUUGGUAAGGAGGUAGACAGGGGAGGCUGGAAUGCCUCGCACAAGGGAAAGUCAGCUUUGAUGAGGGGACAUUACCGGCAGAAAAGAAAAAAGGUGAAGAUUUGGAAAAGCACAAUGUUAGAGGACCACAUGAGGGAGUCUCCAUCAUUUUUUUUAAUGUUUAUUUUUGAAGGAGAGAGAGAAACAGUGGGGAAGGGGCAGAGAGAGAGGGAGACAGAAUCUGAAGCAGAUUCCAGGCUCUGAGCUGUCAGCACAGCACCUGACAUGGGGCUCAAACUCAUGAACUUUGAGAUCACGACCUGAGCUGAAGUCGGAUGCUUAACCGCCUGAGCCACCCCGGCGCCCUGGUCGUCUCCCUCUUUAAAUAAAAAGGCAAGUCCAGCAGUGUUGGAAAGCAUGGAUGGGUUUGAGGUCGUUCUGCUCUCAAAAUGCAGUGAGCAAUGAGCUUGUUAAAUGUGCAGAACCUCAGGACCCAGUCCAGGCCUAGUGAACCAGAAUCUGAUCUGAACAAGAUUCUCCAGGUGAUUCAUGGGCUUAUUCAAGUCUGCAAGCCACUGGUUUUGGAAAGUGGUUUAUACAAUGUUGACUGGGCAACAGAAUUACCAGGAAAGCUUUGAAAAAUCCUGUUGCCCAGGCUGCACCCCAGACCAAUGAAAAACCCUGUGGGGUAGUGUUCAGGCAUCUGAUUUUUUAAGAUUUUAAUCUCUACAUCCAACGUGGGGCUCGAACUUAACAAUCCCGAGAUCAAGAAUCACAUGCUUCACCAACUGAGCCAGCCAGACUCCUCUGAAGCCCAGGUUUUUAAACCCCUAAGUGGGCACCCUAGAUUGGCCACCAUUGGCUUACAGCAUUGCAAAGCCACAGACAUAAGCUCACUAAAAUUUGUUAAAUAAGUCACAACAGCAGACGUGGGAGAUGUUGCCUGGAGUACACAGAUCGUUGACCAGCAGGGAGUCUUGACAUUACUGGAUGGCAAGACCCUGGACUGGCAAUGGUUGGUUAGGUUUAGAUCUCCCAAAACACCCAACACUGCAGAUGAGACAGAGGAUGUGGAAACUGGGAGUGAGACUUAAAAUUUUUCUCAAUGUUUAUUUUUGAGAGAGAGACACAGAGGGUGAGCGGAGGCAGGGGAGGGGCAGAGAGAGAGGGAGACAGAAUCCGAAGUAGGCUCCAGGUUCUGUGCUCUCAGCACAGAGCCUGAUGUGGGGCUCAAACCCACGAAUCAUGAGAUCAUGACCUGAUCUGAAGUCGGACACUCAACCAACUGAGCCACCUAGGUGCCCCCAGAAUUUGCAUUUGUAACAAAUUCCCAGGUGAUGCUUUGGUCCAGAGACUACACUCAGAAGCAUAAUAGAUGAUGUGACCACAAGAAGACAGCAGACAAUAUGGAAGGCUGCCGUAGCGGGGCCAUGCCAUGGCCUCUACAAAAACAUGCUUUUUUCCUCAGACCUAUGUUGUUUCUAGGAAACGUCCUCCUAGUACCCCCUGGGGAGAAUUACUGGUGUCAGAACCGUUUGCUCUGUCUUCAUCACUACAGUGUAGCCUCACGGGAACAGAACCAGGAUGAAAGGGAAGAGGAAUUCAAGCUGCAGCAAGGACUCUGAGAAAACUAGGCAGAGACUGAACAGAACAAGCUGAGACAGCAGGCCCAGACCGAGGAGAUCCCGGCUCUGUGUUCUUCACCAGCACAUCAAGUCAAAUGGCUGUCCAAAUCAAAUGGCUAACACCCCACCCUCCUGCAAUGAUUACGUUUCAGGGAGGGAAUAAAAAUCUUUCUACUAUUUUAUGCAGUGUGUUCUAACACUGUACUGUAG
rnacentral:lncRNA from 1 species